CGGUUUCGACGUGUCAUAUUAAUUUUUAAUUGCAGUGGGGUUAGCCCCUUAUCGCUUUCGAGGCAUCUUAAAUGCAGAAAACAAAAAAUCUUCUGAAGUAGAAUUAAACCCAGUGUUUAUGGCUUCAGCUACUAAUGCAAACUACGCUUUUGCGUACUAAUUAAUUAUUAGUAGAAACGUUCACUAACACAAUUACUAUUGGUUGGUUUUUGGGCUUAUUGUACAAUAGUUUUAAGUUUAAAAAUUGUUAUUUGUUGUUUUAAAUUUAAAUAAAUCUAACAAAUAGUUAGUUAAUUAUAAAUUCGUUUUAUUAUUUGUUAACUACACUACUUCUAAUAAAACUAAACUGUAGACAUUAUUAAUUAAGUGUUGCGGAAAGGGGUUCGACUCCCCUCAUCUCCACCA
rnacentral:tmRNA from 1 species